rnacentral:rRNA from 1 species
GAUGAACGCUGGCGGCGUGCUUAACACAUGCAAGUCGAACGAAGCACUUUAUUUGAUUUCCUUCGGGACUGAUUAUUUUGUGACUGAGUGGCGGACGGGUGAGUAACGCGUGGGUAACCUGCCUUGUACAGGGGGAUAACAGUUGGAAACGGCUGCUAAUACCGCAUAAGCGCACAGCAUCGCAUGAUGCAGUGUGAAAAACUCCGGUGGUAUAAGAUGGACCCGCGUUGGAUUAGCUAGUUGGUGAGGUAACGGCCCACCAAGGCGACGAUCCAUAGCCGACCUGAGAGGGUGACCGGCCACAUUGGGACUGAGACACGGCCCAAACUCCUACGGGAGGCAGCAGUGGGGAAUAUUGCACAAUGGGCGAAAGCCUGAUGCAGCGACGCCGCGUGAGCGAAGAAGUAUUUCGGUAUGUAAAGCUCUAUCAGCAGGGAAGAUAAUGACGGUACCUGACUAAGAAGCACCGGCUAAAUACGUGCCAGCAGCCGCGGUAAUACGUAUGGUGCAAGCGUUAUCCGGAUUUACUGGGUGUAAAGGGAGCGCAGGCGGUGCGGCAAGUCUGAUGUGAAAGCCCGGGGCUCAACCCCGGUACUGCAUUGGAAACUGUCGUACUAGAGUGUCGGAGUGGUAAGCGGAAUUCCUAGUGUAGCGGUGAAAUGCGUAGAUAUUAGGAGGAACACCAGUGGCGAAGGCGGCUUACUGGACGAUAACUGACGCUGAGGCUCGAAAGCGUGGGGAGCAAACAGGAUUAGAUACCCUGGUAGUCCACGCCGUAAAC